AAACUCGGCUUGGUUGCCACUCUUCAGCUGGUUGAAGGGAAGGUUCAAUUCACUGCAUCCCUGGACAGUUUGCAUUUCAAGCUUCUUUCCUCAGCCGUGGGCCCCGUCAAGAUUGUACGUUUUCAUGAGCCCCUGAGAGCUUUCAUCCAGAAAAUUAUACUAAAGGAGAUCAACUUUUAUCUCCACUUAGGAAAAAUCCCAAUAUUUAAAGCACCAGGAUUGAAGCCCAGCAUUGCCCAUUGCCACCCUUCUAAGCGCUGUCUUGUGUGCCAUAACAAGCUCCAUAAAGGGUGAUGUGCCAGGCGAGUGUGGUGCCGACGCCCCUCUGACACUGAGGAGAGAGGAAGAAACAGCGGCACAAAUGAGGAGGUUUAAUUCAUGGGUGGUUUUUUUUUUUUUUUUUUUUUUCCAAAAUUUUGAUUCAGGCUUUUUACUCUGGGGGAAAAAUUGCCCCAUCUGCUAUGGAAUUUCAGUUGAAGAACUGCAGUAGAUCUCAAAAAGAAAAGGAGGAC